rnacentral:rRNA from 1 species
CAGUAGCCGCGGGAAUACGAAGGGUGCAAGCGUUACUCGGAAUUACUGGGCGUAAAGCGUGCGUAGGUGGUGGUUUAAGUCCGUUGUGAAAGCCCUGGGCUCAACCUGGGAAUUGCAGUGGAUACUGGGUCACUAGAGUGUGGUAGAGGAUAGUGGAAUUUCCGGUGUAGCAGUGAAAUGCGUAGAGAUCGGAAGGAACAUCUGUGGCGAAGGCGACUAUCUGGGCCAACUCUGACACUGAGGCACGAAAGCGUGGGGAGCAAACAGGAUUAGAUACCCCCGUAGUCCCUGUCUCUUAUAC